GGUUGAGCGCUUACAAACAUGACGUUGUGCUGUUAAACCACUGUACUAGGUUAGGGAAUAGUUGGGAUGGUUGGGAUCCGCGGCUUACAUGCUUAUCCCCACCAAAUUAUGUAUGUAAAAAACUAUAUGCUUGUCCCAAGUCAGGAGCCUGUAAGUCAGUGGUUGUUGUGUGUUGCUGUGUUACUUACUUGUUUUUCGUUCAUUAUUUUGUAUAUUAAUUAGGCUGUUAGUUUUCUUCUAGUGAUUUCGGGGCCUUUUAUAGCUGAGUAUGUGAAAUGUUGUCUCUUUGACACAUUCCCCAUUUCCUUCCUCAAUUUUAUUAUGCUUAUUGUUGAAGAGCAUAUGGUGAUCUAUGGCUGUUAAUUUCUGCGUCAUUUAGUCUCUUGUGAGAAAUUGCCUCAUUGGCAACCAUACCACAUCUUCGUUUUAAUAUUAACCCCUGCCAUAUUCUUUAUGAACCUGUCCCAAGUCAGGAGCCUGCAGUUUAGUGGUUGUCGUUGGUUCAUGUCUCAUUUUUGAUAUUUUUAAAAUUGAUUUGUUAUGUAUAAUUAAACCGUUAGUUUAUUCGUUUAAAUUGUUUCACACUUUUCAUGGACUUUUAUAAACGGCUUAACAGUAUCGGAUAUUGUCAUUAUUGAAGGCCUUACGGUUGCCUGUAAUUGCUUACAUCCACUUCAUAUUUGAAC
rnacentral:lncRNA from 1 species